ACAGCCAGGCCUGUCCUCCACACGCACCGUGCUGCAGAGCAGAGCACCUGGAGUGUGAGGGAGGAGCAGAGCUGGGGGGCUCCAGCACUGCGUACAGCGCCCCCUACAGGCCACAAGAGCUCAAAACCCCCCAGCUCUCACGCUCUGUCUGCUCUGGGCCCAGAGAGACUGGCGGCCGUUCGGGUACCCUGAAAAUCCCGCAAACGUAAAAUCGAACGCUGACGGAAAAGGACGGCGGGGCAUGUGAAACAAGAAAACUACCCACAAACCCCGAGGCGAGAGUGUGCAGUAUGUUGUGGCUUUCACACGACGUUCCCAGACUGUCCUACUCCGCACGGAUAAUUUAACACCGGGAGCGUAUUCAGGGAAUGCUGUUCCGUGUCCUGGAGGUUGACUAAGUUUUCUUUUAACAACCAUCCAACAGCCGUGUGAACACAAAGCAGUCUACCAUUUGAACCUACAUGCCAGACUGGCAGCCAGCGUAGGGCAGCAUACUCUUAAAAGUUUGAGAGAAAGGGGCCGGUUUAACAUCCAAGUCCCACCGCUCCCUGUGCUAAUUCACUCGUUGGCCAGCUGAACAUCGCUCUAAAGGUUUUGCAGCAUUUUGUCAGGAAAAGAUGUUUACAGUGCUGCGUGUCCCCAACUCGGCAGAUAAUUUGCUAAUACAGACAUGAUGGGUAGUGAAUACGUGUGGCCAAGCCAUGAGAAUAAAUGGGGUAGUGAUGAACUGUUG